rnacentral:tRNA from 2 species
GCGCCCGUAGCUCAACGGAUAGAGCAUCUGACUACGGAUCAGAAGGUUGGGGUUUCGAAUACCUCCGGGCGCGCCA